GCUUAACACAUGCAAGUCCAGCGGAGAGAUGGUGCUUGCUCUAUCACUUAGCGGCGGACGGGUGAAUAAUGCUUAAGAAUCUGCCUUUUAGUGGGGGACAACCUUCCGAAAGGAAUGCUAAUACCGCAUACGUCCUACGGGAGAAAGCAGGGGAUCUUCGGACCUUGCGCUAAAUGAUGAGCCUAAGUCAGAUUAGCUAGUUGGUGGGGUAAAGGCCUACCAAGGCGACGAUCUGUAGCGGGUCUGAGAGGAUGAUCCGCCACACUGGGACUGAGACACGGCCCACACUCCUACGGGAGGCAGCAGUGGGGAAUAUUGGACAAUGGGCGGAAGCCUGAUCCAGCCAUGCCGCGUGUGUGAAGAAGGCCUUUUGGUUGUAAAGCACUUUAAGCGAGGAGGAGGCUACUAGUACUAAUACUACUGGAUAGUGGACGUUACUCGCAGAAUAAGCACCGGCUAACUCUGUGCCAGCAGCCGCGGUAAUACAGAGGGUGCGAGCGUUAAUCGGAUUUACUGGGCGUAAAGCGUGCGUAGGCGGCUUUUUAAGUCGGAUGUGAAAUCCCCGAGCUUAACUUGGGAAUUGCAUUCGAUACUGGGAAGCUAGAGUAUGGGAGAGGAUGGUAGAAUUCCAGGUGUAGCGGUGAAAUGCGUACAGAUCUGGAGGAAUACCGAUGGCGAAGGCAGCCAUCUGGCCUAAUACUGACGCUGAGGUACUAAAGCAUGGGGAGCAAANNGGAUUAGAUACCCCGGUAGUCCAUGCCGUAAACGAUGUGUAAUAGCCGUGGGGGCCUCUGAGGCUUUAGUGGCUGCAGCUAACGAGAUAAGUAGACCGCCUGGGGAGUACGGUCGCAAGACUAAAACUCAAAUGAAUUGUCGGGGGCCCGCACAAGCGGUGGAGCAUGUUGUUUAAUUUGAAGCAAAGAGAAGAACCUUACCUGGUCUUGACAUAGUAAGAACUUUCCAGAGAAGGAGUGGUGCCUUCGGGAACUUACAUACAGGAGCUGCAUGGCUGUCGUCAGCUCGUGUCGUGAGAUGUUGGGUUAAGUCCCACAACGAGCGCAACCUUUUUCCUUAUUUGCCAGCGAGUAAUGUCGAGAACUAUAAGGAUACUGCCAGUCACAAACUGGAGGAAGGCGGGGACGACGUCAUGUCAUCAUGGCCUUUAGGGCUAGGGCUACACACGUGAUACAAUGUCCUAUACAAAGUGUUGAUACAUCGCGAGAGGAUGCUAAUCUCAAAAAGCCUAUUGUAGUCGGGAUUGGUGUGUAGAUCUCGUCUACUCGAUGUCAGUAUCUAUUGUAAUCGAGUAUCAGAAUGGCAAUGUGAAUAUGUUCCCGGUCUUUGUACACACCGCCUGUCACACCA
rnacentral:rRNA from 1 species